rnacentral:rRNA from 1 species
AUUGAACGCUGGCGGCAGGCCUAACACAUGCAAGUCGAACGAGUGGCGGACGGGUGCGUACUGUAUGAGAAACUGCCUAAUGGAGGGGGAUAACUACUGGCAACGGUAGCUAAUACCGCAUACCCUCGGAUGUGCCCAGAUGGGAUUAGCUAGUAGGUGGGGUAACGGCUCACCUAGGCGACGAUCCCUAGCUGGUCUGAGAGGAUGACCGGCCACACUGGGACUGAGACACGGUCCAGACUCAUACGGGAGGCAGCAGUGGGGAAUAUUGCACAAUGGGCGCAAGCCUGAUGCAGCCAUGCCGCGUGUAUGAAGAAGGCCUUCGGGUUGUAAAGUACUUUCAGCGGGGAGGCGUUACCCGCAGAAGAAGCACCGGCUAACUCCGUGCCAGCAGCCGCGGUAAUUC